GAACAUUUGGAAGAGGCGGGAGACUAAAAAUUUAGAGGUCUGCCAAAAUUUUGGCAUAGCGCCCAAAAUCUCAACUCCUUAUUUUCAAAGAGAACGCGUUAGCUCUCCCUCCUGUUCAUUUCUCUCUCGCAGCUUCUCUGCUUUUCCUCUUCAGAAAUUUCCAAAGCCUCCACCUCUGCAUACCCGAUCCGAUUUGGGUUCGGAUUCAUAUGGGAAUUGGUAGGAUGCAGGUCUCGAUGCGGGUAUGGCGACGGUGUUUAUGCUUACAAAGAUGAUAAGGUAGAGCCAUAUGGAGCUCGCGGCACCGCACCUAAGUCGUCAAGUUCGACUUUGUUCGAUGAUUACGGGAGGUCGAUCAGUGUCCCAUCCGGGAAAACUACACCGGCGAGCUCGAACAAGAUCGUCCGGGCAAUACCCAAGGCCGAUACCCAAGAAGACGCGAAGAGUGGGGUGCAGAAGUUUCGGGUCAAGCUGUUAGCUGAAAGUGGAGGGCAGAGCACUGUGGAUGUCCUUUGCUAGGUAUGAACAAGGAGAUACUGUGUUCUAUAUAAGUAAAAUUUUAACUUUAAUUAGAAGCAUAUAACUUGUUAGUUUCUAUUGUGUUUAUUGGGAUUGGAUUUUCACAUUGUUAAUUUUCACUUGUGAUUGUGUUGUUGUGGGAACAGAUUAGUUCUGCUAUGUCGUUCACUGUGAUUUCAACAACUUAACUUUGUAGCUUAGGUUACAACUGUAAUUGGGAGCCUUGGCAGAAGAGAUCAUGUGUUCACAUAACUGUUACUCUAAAGAAAUGGCAAAUAGGGACUCGAUGCUACUUAGAAUUAGAGCACUAUGGCCUCUUAGUCUAUGUUGGAAUGGAUUACCAAGGUAAGAGUUAUAAAAACACCGCCUUGGACUCACGUAUUUUUGAAAUGCAUAUUAUCAUGCAGCUGUUUCUGGUAUUCCUCGAGAUGAUCAUCUUUAUGUUGGUUUAAAGUAUGGAUAGUGUUUAGAAUGCCAUCCAUUGCUCUUGUUUAGUUCCUUCCCCCUGCUUUCUUUCAAAUCUUUCCUAUUGAUUUGUUAAGAUUUGCCGAUACUAAAUUCUAUAUCAUAUUGGUUUGGAUGAUAUUCGUAUGCUUGAUCCUGCUACCAGUCGGACGUUGAGAAUAUAUCCCCUUGACAACGUUACAAGAUGUGAUAAAACUGACUCAUCUACCUUCGCCUUUUGGUCAAAGAGCUCUGUAGAUAUUGAGCCAAGGCAUAUUAGAUUGCAGUCAAAUAGUUACACGGCCAACACCUUUGGGAUACAGUGACUGCUACAACUGUACAUGUUGGAAACUUGGGAAUUCUGCCUUUCCCCUUGUCCUAAAAAAAUAAUGGUCCCCCUUAUUUAUUGACAACAUGUGAUUAAUUAGGGCCUAGGUGAUGUUUUCCUUGUUUCUGCUCCUGUAAUUUGACAUGUUGUCAUGUAGUAAGUAUAAACAUUGAUACUUGUUUUGAGAUGUAUGUGAUGCUUUGGUUCUAUGUGAAAAUUACUGAAGGUGGGCUAGAUUAAUCAUUUUGUGUUUCAGUUAUAUUUGUGUUCAUUUUGAGUAGGGUGCUAAACUACAGGGAUUGACUUAUGUGUCUGAACUUUUAAACUCGGGCCUGUAUUUCAUAUUGAUCAAAUAGGCAUGAGUAGUGUACUUACAUGAGGUGUAUAGUGUUUUGUUGUGAAGGAACACCAUCUAAUUUCUCUAUGCAAAAGGACAUGAAUAUCAAAUGUAUUCCUUCAAUGCAUAAUCUCUAAUGAACUCUCUAUCAUUCAUUUUGCAAACUUACUGACAUUUGUUAUCAACGUUUGUUUGGCCCUAUUAUUUUGAAAAUAGAACUAUGAGCUUACCGUGUGUUUAUGCUGACAUUAUGAUUGGAUGGUUAUGUCUUUAUUAAAUUAUAUGCUUUUAUUGAAGAUCUGAAUGAUGCAUAAUAUGGUCAUGUUUAUGUCCACAAGACUGUUUAAUCUUAUCACAGAGAUUUUGAACGUUGAUUAUUUUUAGUGAUGUAUUGUUCUUACCCCUUGUUACUCAACUUAAGGAAAUGGGUGGAUGAAUCAGGCCAACGGAAUUGGUAAGGCCAAGCGAACAGACCGGGAAAUGUGGAGAAAUAUCAUUGGGUCCCCGAUGAGGCAGUUACAAAAUGCACGGUCUAUGGGUCAGAUUUUGGGGCUUUAUGUCCACAAAACUAAUUUUGUUUAACUUGUCUCGAUGUCUUCAACUGAAGAAAUAGAAUCAACAAAUCCUGAGGCGAAAGUUCAUCACAUGGUGCUUGGUCUUGAUUGUUGGAAAGUUUGGGUAACUGUUGUCAGGGUAGAGAAUAUAUCUUUGUACCGCCCUACAAGUGAAUUUUGUGUCCUGGAGGAUGCUAUAUCUAGUACAAUUGCUUGGCCAUCAAAUUACGUCUGCGUUGGAGAGUAAUUUUAGUUCGUACUUAAUUAGACUAGAAAAUGGUACUUUGGCA